rnacentral:rRNA from 1 species
UACGUAGGGCGCAAGCGUUAUCCGGAAUUAUUGGGCGUAAAGAGCUCGUAGGCGGUUUGUCGCGUCUGCCGUGAAAGUCCGGGGCUCAACCCCGGGCCUGCAGUCGAUACGGGCAGACUAGAGUGCGGUAGGGGAGACUGGAAUUCCUGGUGUAGCGGUGAAAUGCGCAGAUAUCAGGAGGAACACCGGUGGCGAAGGCGGGUCUCUGGGCCGUAACUGACGCUGAGGAGCGAAAGCGUGGGGGAGCAAACAGG